GAUGACAGGAGAUGGAGGUGGAACCAUCAGGGCGUUCAAUUCUCCUUUAAUAGUAGAGAUAACCACGAAGAAACCUUCUCCACUACGAUCUUCUCAAGUGCCUACGGUUCAGAGAUGGAUGUUCUUGAUCUGGAGCAUGGCUCGCUCACUGAUGCCUCGGGGGUGGUCAUGUAUGUUGGUCCUCUUGAGACAGAUUGCUAUGCCGCAGAUGGCAUGAGAGAAGUAGCAAUAGUUGCGGGCAAUCGUAAUAUAAUUUUUCUCAGAGUUUUUGGAAACACACUUAAGCUAUACGAGGAAGACCUCUAGCAAGCAGAGUUCAACAGUGUUGUUCUUGAGGCCUCCGACAUGAAGGUUGAUCAUACAUCGAGAUGCCUUCUUGGGACGGACGCAUCCACACUCACGUUCGAACACUUCCCGGCACCCUCUGAUGGCCCGACGCGCUG